rnacentral:rRNA from 1 species
AGUGAACGCUGGCGGUCGGCCUAACACAUGCAAGUCGAACGAGUGGCGGACUGGUGAGCAAGACAUCGGCAUCUACUCUGACGUCGGGGCUAACGUAGGGAAACUUACGAUAAUACCGCAUACGAUUGAAUGAGCCGAUGUCGGAUUAGCUAGUUGGCGGGGUAAAGGCCCACCAAGGCGACGAUCCGUAGCUGGUCUGAGAGGCUGAUCAGUCACACUGGGACUGAGACACGGUCCCGACUCCUACGGGAGGCAGCAGGGGGGAAGAUUGGACAAUGGGCGCAAGCCUGAUCCAGCCAUCCCGGGUGGGUGAAGAAGGCCUUCGGGUUGUAAAGCCCUUUUGUUGGGAAAGCGGUACCCAAAGAAUAAGCACCGGCUAACUUCGUGCCAGCAGCCGCGGUAAUAC